GCCCAGGUGGUGGAAUUGGUAGACACGCCAGCUUGAGGGGCUGGUGGCCAUUAGGCCGUGCAAGUUCGAGUCUUGUUCUGGGCA
rnacentral:tRNA from 1 species